AAGAACAUCCGAACCAAGCCCCAAAAUCGUCAAAAUUCACGCGAGUGAGCAUCAAGACCUAACCCACGCGUCCCUCUAUCUAUCCUCUUGCUGUUGCUAACGGAUUUUCUGAUGCCAAGAUUCGUUUUUGUUCACUCGCUCGAUUUUGAGAGAAGGCACACGAUUGGAAGGUCCUAGAGACGAUUCGUUGGAUGAAUGUGAGGCAUUGGAUUGAUUUCGUUCAAUCCGAGCCCUACAUUCAUCAGGGGUUCGUUUCAUAAAAGGACUCAAUCCGAUUUUUUUGAGGGGAGAAGAUUUUUGGGGGAAGAAGAUUUUUUGGGGGGAUAGAUUUUCAGAGAGUAAAUUGUGACUUCUUCUUCUUUGUUUUUCUGGAAUUUCUAAAAAAUACAAAAGCAAAGAGUUUCAGUUUGUUUGUUUUUUUUCGAUCCUUGAAUUUCAUUCUUCGAUUAUCUGGUUCUGAUGUGGAAUUCGAUUGAGCGGAGGCUGUUUUGAGUUCAUUGUCAUUGUUGUUCGUCGUGGAUUCUAGUCGAGGUAUCCUGGUCUUCAUUGAUUCAUUUGGUUUUGGUUCUGAAAUCCUUUGUGGUGGAUUCAUUUGGUUUUGGUUCGAGUGAUUCGCUGUAAUCGCCAAACUUUGUUAAUUGAAGAGCUGAUUUCAGGGUGUAGGAAAAAAGAGGUGUGACAGCUCGAACACGAACAAAUAGCGAGGGUCAAAAGGCCACUAGAGGGGAAUUUAGUUGGAGUCCCCGAGCUGACAGGAGCCGAAGAUACCCCAUCUCGGGGUGGGAAGGCAUCGGAAAUGGAUGUGGAGGCCAGUCCUGAGGCUCCUCGAAAUAUAGAGAGCGCCCCAAGUGACCCACUUAGGGAAAUACAAAUCGAAGACUCCCAUUCGCUUCCUUUAUUAUCAGAAGAGGAAGUUCGGGAGGCUCGGGCCAUGACGACCCCUCAUGUAGAAGGCGCCCUCGGAUGAGAAGACCUUUUUCGUGGUUAUUUUACUAGGAUCGAGGACAUCACUGGCUCGAGUGACUUGGAGACAUAGGGGAAGGAUUCAGAUGGAGCGAGUCUCUUCGAUGAGGCACAUCAGUUAAGGCUUUGGCACUUUAUCAGGAGGCAUUUUCAAAUCUCGAGGAGAACUGAGCCGGUAUGAGACCGAUAUUCAAGGGCUUACCGAGGAGAAGAGUGCCCUUGAACUCCUUAUUGGGCGGAAAGAAGAAGAAAUCAAAGGCGUCCGAGCUGAACUGGCCAUGGCUCAAAAAGAACAGAGCGAGCUAACCGAGCAGGUCCAGCAAUUGUACGAGAUGAUCGGACAACUCCGUGGAGAGGUAGAUGCAGUGAAGGCGGAAACCAUAGCGUGGAAAAAAAAUAUGGACUGCCUAGCCUCAUAGAAAGAGACUGCUCGAGCCCAGUUAUCCUCGGCUUAAAAUCAACUUCAAAUCCUGAAAGAGAGGAACUUGGCACAUGCCAAGGAAAUUGAGGAGCUCCAUGCUCGGUUGGCCAUAGAGCUUGCCGU